rnacentral:rRNA from 1 species
GAUGAACGCUGGCGGCGUGCCUAACACAUGCAAGUCGAGCGGCAGCGAGGGGUGCUUGCACCCUGUCGGCGAGCGGCGGACGGCUGAGUAACGCGUGGGAACGUGCCCCAAAGUGAGGAAUAACUGCCCGAAAGGGUAGCUAAUACCGCAUAUUAUCUUCGGAUCAAAGGAUUUAUCCGCUUUGGGAGCGGCUCGCGUCGGAUUAGGUAGUUGGUGAGGUAAUGGCUCACCAAGCCGACGACCCGUAGCUGGUCUGAGAGGAUGACCAGCCAGACUGGAACUGAGACACGGUCCAGACUCCUACGGGAGGCAGCAGUGAGGAAUCUUCCACAAUGGGCGAAAGCCUGAUGGAGCAACGCCGCGUGCAGGAGGAAGGCCUUCGGGUUGUAAACUGCUUUUAUAAGUGAGGAAUAUGACGGUAACUUAUGAAUAAGGAUCGGCUAACUACGUG